GGACGGUAUUAAUGGUACAGGAGCGUGUCGGUGCAACCCUGGCUUUAACGGCACAGCCUGCGAGUCCUGCCAGACGGGAAAGUACGGCAUCCACUGUGACCAAGACUGUAAGUGUGUGAAUGGUCACUGUAAUGAUGGUCAGGAGGGGGAUGGCACCUGCGAAUGUGACGUUGGAUGGAGAGGAACACUCUGCUCUAUAGCCAUAACCACAGACUCAUGUAAAGGGACGUGCCAC